GGGAAGAAGAGGAAGACCAAGCAGAUUGAGGGCAACUCCAGACCCAUACAAACACACUUGCGCCAAAGCAGCCCUGCUUUCAUCUUUUCCAGGUGGUGACGCACCCUCUUCUUGAACACCUUCAACUGCAGUAAUCCACAAGGGCCAGGGUUGUGACCCAGAAAUUUCAUCAAUAGGAUGUUCUUCCCUCUUCUAGUCCCUUGCAAUCUGUACAUUGAUUAUCUUGAGUAGAAAGGUUGAAUAAACAGAAUGAAGAAUCAUUACAUUAUGCCUACGAAAAUUUUUCAGCUGGUAUGCGACGGCGCAAUCUUGGCUCACAGCAACCUCCGCCUACCAGGUUCAAGUGAUUGUCCUGCCUCAGCCUCCCGACCUCAGGUGAUCUGCCCGACUCAGCCUCCCAAAGUGCUGGGAUUACAGGCGUGAGCCACCAUGCCUGGCCUACUUUCAUUUAACAAUACUUAACACUAGAAAAU
rnacentral:lncRNA from 10 species